UUUGUCUUAAAGCAUGUGCAUUAAGGGCCAGCCAAGAUUAGCCUGUGCAGUCCACACCGGCUUAUCAGUGACGGCACUUAACACUUAUGUAAUUUUUUAUGCUCCCUUAAAAUUUAUUUUGGGGUGAGCAUAUAGUCGCCGCUUCGUCUGUCCGUUCGUCUGUCCGUGCACAAUUUUUGUCCGGGCUGUUUCUCAGAAACUAAUGACCGGAAUUCAAUGAAACUUUAUGGGAAGCUUUACUACCAAGAGGAGAUGUGCAUAUUAUAAGUGGGUUCUGGUCGGAUGAUUUUUCACAGAGUUAUGGCCCUUUGAAAUUUUCUAAAAAAAAAUUAUUGUCCCCCCCCAACUACUGUGCCCUCAAGACAUUUGCUUUUACCUGAAUAUAUAGUGCAAUAUUGUGCCAAAAAAAACACUUGAGAGGAGCAUCAGCCGUCUCCGACGGUUUCUUGUUGUUUAAAGGAAGUCUCAACUGAGAAAAUAAUCCAAUUUAGGGGGGAAGGUGUAGUUUCUGAUAAGCCUGUGCAGACUGCUGAGGCAUAUCAUGGGCAUACUUCUGUGAAUACAUGUUUCCAGAGGGAGGUCCAAAUGCAUGAAGCCAUGAUGACCACAAGGGUUAAUCUUACAACUGACAACUAAGAAAUCAAUACUGACAAUUGGGAUGACACAAUUUACAAACAUGCAUUCAGCCUGUUUCUCCCAGAGCUAGGCUUAUUAAUGGAUACCUUCCAGAAGAAAAGUAAAAAUGGCUAUGUGCAAAAAGCAUAAGACCAGAUCAGCCCACAAGUAACUCGCAGUCUGUUCAGGUUUUAUGCUGUUUGCUGCUCAUCAGUAUCUAAGGCUGACCUUAAUAAAUUGUUUUUUUGGAGUUACCCGACCGACUCACUGAAAUUCCUGCGACUCAAUUUUUUUUUAGCCUUCCAGGAUUCUUUUCUUUUUUUUUCAUUCUCGAAAACCGGCCAUAGAUCGUAUUUUCGGUUGGCUCGUUUUUUCUUUCCGCUCAUUUAUCUUUGAUCCUAAAACGCUUGAUUUAGGUGCGCUUCGGAUUUUAUCGUCAAUUUCUACACGGCUGUUGAAACAUGGCGUCGUGGAAGACAUUGUCGGAAGACGACGAAAUAACUUUCUGCAUAUCUGUCAAUUUGCAAAGUGGAGAUACUAAAAAAACAGUUGUAAUAAAUUUAAAUAGAAAAUUUUCCAGCCGCAGUGUAUCUAUAGCAAAAAGGCCCUCACGACAAGGAAGGAAAGAUGCCUGAAACGCCUGCUUGAGAAAUACACAUACAGCUGUGGUUCAGUCAUAACACUUGAUGGUGAUGCACUGCAAGGGAAGGUAUUUGUGAGCCUUCAACUGGGCUGUAGGUCCCCCAUUGAGAAGACGUACUACUCUUCACACUUGGCCAUCAAUAAAGACUUGUGUUUUCAUUGUGGCACAAGUGAAAACACAGCAUGUGAUGAGGAGGCCGUUGCAGCUUACCGUGUGGUGUUCCCAAUUUGCAACCCAUGCAA